CUCACACACACAAGGAAAUCUUAAGCAGAUUUAACUAAAGGUUUAUUCAGCAACAACUGCAUUUUUGUCCUUCUCCUUUCCCUCCUUUUUCCUCUUGAUCCCCCACACGCUCUACAGGAUCCCCGUUGGGACAAAUGUCCAAACAAACUGCAAAAGAUGGCUGAAUAGAAUAUAACAGGAAGACAACUGAAAAUUACCCCUCCCCCUUCAUGAAUGGAGAGCCCUGGAACAUCAGAGCAAGGUUAUUCUGCAUGUUGGCCAUCAUUGGUUGCUUGAAGCAUAUGAAAUUGGUAACAGUACAGACAGGAAAUAUAUAUGCUCAAGUUUUCGUACUGCAAAGACUGGUCUCUUUCAUGUUAUGUUGAAGAGGACCAAAGACUUGUGUUACCUGCUUGGGAGGAAUCUGUAUAAGUUGCAACCCAUCUGAAAGGGGGGAUGGUGAAGAAGAAAAAAGGGGGGAAAGGAAGCUGUCCAGACAAGGGAGUUCUCAGUGGUUAACCUUCUGGAACACAUUAGCUACUCCAAACUCCCAAAUGCCCAGACUAAACAACUCUGUAAAGUCUUGAUUUUAUUCAUAGACCGGAAAUUGUUUGGUUAAAGACUGGAAAGAUAGCUAUGAGAAGCCACUUACAGACACUCGCUUGACUGUACUUUACUGUAAAAUCAUCCAUGCCUAAAAAUUC